rnacentral:tRNA from 1 species
CACGCCGUGUCCGAAAUGGUCAGGUGCGAGGUUGCAACCCUCGUGAUGCGGGUUCGAGUCCCGCCGGCGUGUCCA